UUACUGUAUACACGGGAUUUCUCAAGCAAUCGGGCUCCCUCUCCGCUACUAUGGUCCCACAACUGAUAUUCUCCGAACCUUUGGGGCCUUCCACAUCCCAGGCCGGUACCGCAGGGGCCCCCUGCCCUACCCAGCAAACCCUAAGGGUAGGCGCAUGCCGUAGAGCGGUCUGUCGGUUUGGUAGCGAGAAGCCGGAUCACGCAGCAACUGCAACACGGAAGAGGGCUCGGGCGACGUCGCGUGAGGACAACAGCGCAGUGGGGUGAGGACGCAGCCGACCUUCGCUUCGCCUCCUCCCCCUCGGGGGCCUCCUCGGGCGGCUCUGAUGUGCACGGCGACCACACUUCCCAGAGGCCACUGCCGGCAAAGCGGCGGGUGGCACAGCGUCGCAGCCUCCACCUUUUUCGGCCGACGAUUGGACGACGCUGCAGGCGCCCAUCGCGCAGGCUCGGGGGCCCUCUCAU